GAAGUGCGAUAAGCAGUGCGAAUUGCAGAACCGUGAGUCAUCAGAUUUUUGAACGCAACUGGCGCCGUGCGGGGUCACCCGCCGUCACGCCUGGUCCAGUGUCUUGUUUUCUCAUCACCAAAAUCAUAAUGCGAGAGAUACCCUUCUCUCGUCAAGCACGAAAGCACUCUGCGCUCUGCGAGCGGCCUUCGGGUCGCACUCAAUGCAGCAGUCACAUUUUUACAAGUGUGAACUCAUUGAGAGUGGACGCAGCGAAGAGUAAUCUUCAAGUGUUUAGUCACACCAACUUUGGUACGGUAUCUGGGCUCAGGUGGGACCACCCGCUGAACUUAA
rnacentral:misc_RNA from 1 species